AUCGAACGCUGGCGGCAGGCUUAACACAUGCAAGUCGAGCGGGGGAAGGUAGCUUGCUACCGGACCUAGCGGCGGACGGGUGAGUAAUGCUUAGGAAUCUGCCUAUUAGUGGGGGACGACAUCUCGAAAGGGAUGCUAAUACCGCAUACGUCCUACGGGAGAAAGCAGGGGAUCUUCGAACCUUGCGCUAAUAGAUGAGCCCAAGUCGGAUUAGCUAGUUGGUGGGGUAAAGGCCUACCAAGGCGACGAUCUGUAGCGGGUCUGAGAGGAUGAUCCGCCACACUGGGACUGAGACACGGCCCAGACUCCUACGGGAGGCAGCAGUGGGGAAUAUUGGACAAUGGGGGGAACCCUGAUCCAGCCAUGCCGCGUGUGUGAAGAAGGCCUUAUGGUUGUAAAGCACUUUAAGCGAGGAGGAGGCUACUUUAGUUAAUACCUAGAGAUAGUGGACGUUACUCGCAGAAUAAGCACCGGCUAACUCUGUGCCAGCCGCCGCGGUAA
rnacentral:rRNA from 1 species